CACGUAGGGGCCAAGCGUUGUCCGGAUUUAUUGGGCGUAAAGAGCUCGUAGGCGGUUCGGUAAGUCGGGUGUGAAACCUCCAGGCUCAACCUGGAGACGCCACCCGAUACUGCUGUGACUGGAGUCCGGUAGGGGAGCGUGGAAUUCCUGGUGUAGCGGUGAAAUGCGCAGAUAUCAGGAGGAACACCGAUGGCGAAGGCAGGUCUCUGGGCCGCAACUGACGCUGAGGAGCGAAAGCAUGGGGAGCGAACAGG
rnacentral:rRNA from 1 species